rnacentral:rRNA from 1 species
UACGUAGGGGGCUAGCGUUGUCCGGAAUUACUGGGCGUAAAGGGCUCGUAGGCGGCCAACUAAGUCAGACGUGAAAUCCCUCGGCUUAACCGGGGAACUGCAUCUGAUACUGGAUGGCUUGAGUUCGGGAGAGGGAUGCGGAAUUCCAGGUGUAGCGGUGAAAUGCGUAGAUAUCUGGAGGAACACCGGUGGCGAAGGCGGCAUCCUGGACCGACACUGACGCUGAGGAGCGAAAGCCAGGGGAGCAAACGGG